rnacentral:rRNA from 1 species
AUUGAACGCUGGCGGCAGGCCUAACACAUGCAAGUCGAACGGUAACAGGAAGAAGCUUGCUUCUUUGCUGACGAGUGGCGGACGGGUGAGUAAUGUCUGGGAAACUGCCUGAUGGAGGGGGAUAACUACUGGAAACGGUAGCUAAUACCGCAUAACGUCGCAAGACCAAAAAGGGGGACCUUCGGGCCUCUUGCCAUCGGAUGUGCCCAGAUGGGAUUAGCUAGUAGGUGGGGUAACGGCUCACCUAGGCGACGAUCCCUAGCUGGUCUGAGAGGAUGACCAGCCACACUGGAACUGAGACACGGUCCAGACUCCUACGGGAGGCAGCAGUGGGGAAUAUUGCACAAUGGGCGCAAGCCUGAUGCAGCCAUGCCGCGUGUAUGAAGAAGGCCUUCGGGUUGUAAAGUACUUUCAGCGGGGAGGAAGGGAGUAAAGUUAAUACCUUUGCUCAUUGACGUUACCCGCAGAAGAAGCACCGGCUAACUCCGUGCCAGCAGCCGCGGUAAUACGGAGGGUGCAAGCGUUAAUCGGAAUUACUGGGCGUAAAGCGCACGCAGGCGGUUUGUUAAGUCAGAUGUGAAAUCCCCGGGCUCAACCUGGGAACUGCAUCUGAUACUGGCAAGCUUGAGUCUCGUAGAGGGGGGUAGAAUUCCAGGUGUAGCGGUGAAAUGCGUAGAGAUCUGGAGGAAUACCG